AACAAGAAAAUGCAAGGCAAUUUGAAAUAAUGCGCUCAGACGGACUCGAACCGUGUGCGAAUUUGAACUAAUGCGCGCGCUUCCAAAAACGGUACCGUUUUGGACAUAAACCCUAGCGCUCCAAAAUUCGUAGCAAAUUUGAAAAUCCGUAGCAAAACCGUGGCAAUCUCGUAGCAAAACCUGGAAACGAUGAUCUUCAUCUUCAUGAAGAUGAACAGUGUACGUGUUCAUGCACGUCCAGAAAUAUUUCUCCAGAAAUCAAAAUUAAGCACAUCAACA
rnacentral:lncRNA from 1 species